CAGCACCUCAAGUGGUCAGGAUGAUUAUUGGGCCUAAAGCAUCCGUAGCCUGUUCUGUAAGUUUCCGGUUAAAUCCAUUAGCUCAACUAAUGGGCUGCCGAAAAUACUGCAGAACUAGGGAGUGGGAGAGGUAGACGGUACUCGGUAGGAAGGGGUAAAAUCCUUUGAUCUAUUGAUGACCACCUGUGGCGAAGGCGGUCUACCAGAACACGUCCGACGGUGAGGGAUGAAAGCUGGGGGAGCAAACCGGAUUAGAUACCCGAGUAGUCC
rnacentral:rRNA from 1 species